rnacentral:RNase_P_RNA from 1 species
UAAAUUGAAUAGUCGCUGGUAAAUUUCCGAAAGGAAUUACGAGAGGAAAGUCCGGGCUCCAUAAGAGCAAAGAUGCUAGAUAACGUCUAGUGGGGGCGACCCUAAGGAAAGUGCAACAGAAAAUAACCGCCAAUUUUUUGGUAAGGGUGAAAAGGUGAGGUAAGAGCUCACCAGCAAUAUGGUGACAUAUUGUGUUUGUGUAAACCCCAUCUGGAGCAACACCUAAAUUAGAAGAUUAAGCCAGCUCUGGCGCCUUCUUAAAUUGCGUGGCUUGAGGUAUAUAGUGAUAUAUAUCCUAGAUAAAUGACUAUUUUAAACGACAGAACCCGGCUUACAGAUUUACUCUU